rnacentral:rRNA from 1 species
AUUGAACGCUGGCGGCAUGCUUUACACAUGCAAGUCGGACGGCAGCGGGGUAGUGCUUGCACUACUGCCGGCGAGUGUCGAACGGGUGAGUAAUAUAUUUGAACGUACCGAUUAAUGGGGGAUAACCAAUCGAAAGAUUGGCUAAUACCUCAUACGCUCUGAGGAGGAAAGCAGGGGACCUUCUGGCCUUGCGUUAUUCGAGCGGCCAAUAUCUGAUUAGCUAGUUGGUGGGGUAAGGGCCUACCAAGGCGACGAUCAGUAGCGGGUCUGAGAGGAUGAUCCGCCACACUGGGACUGAGACACGGCCCAGACUCCUACGGGAGGCAGCAGUGGGGAAUAUUGGACAAUGGGCGCAAGCCUGAUCCAGCCAUGCCGCGUGUCUGAAGAAGGCCUUCGGGUUGUAAAGGACUUUUGUUAGGGAAGAAAAAGGAGAGGUUAAUACCCGUUUCUGCUGACGGUACCUAAAGAAUAAGCACCGGCUAACUACGUG